rnacentral:lncRNA from 10 species
AAAAGAAGACUACUUCUGGAACUGAGGAGAUUCACUGGGGCAUCACUUAGCACUCCCAAGUCCAGUUCUAAAGUUCAGUGGAAAACUGAUGCAACUCCAUGAUGACAUCACCUGCAAGGACUCAGAUCCUUUGGCAAUGAAUGCUUGAGUCACCCUGCCAGGCUUUCUUAGUUGAGCUAUCUUCCUGAGGUUGUUUGGAGCCGCUGCGUCAUGGAUAAAUAACUCCCUAAAGCCAGUCCCAACAAGCUUGCACUGAACAUCAAGAAGCCUGACAAGUCCUUCAAAUGCAAGAAGCCCACCCAAAAUGUGCUGGUCUUUUUAAUCAACAGACAACUGGGCAGGCACAGAAGCGACAUCAACCUGUCAAGGUGGAUAUGGAUGCUGUCAUAAAGCAACUCCAGGGUGAACAUGGCCUUGGACAAAGAGUCAUGUGGCUUAUGUGCUGAGGCCUGCCCAGAAUUCUGAGAUAUUAAUUAUAAUUAGAACAAUAAACUCCUCCCAUGUUUGAGCUAUUAAAACAGUCUGUCAUUUCACUCCUUUGGAUUGGAUAUGUGUUUGCUGACAGGGCUUACUUGGGUUACACUGGAAGGGGCUUUUGUUCAUCCUAACGCACAGUGCAGGGGUGCUCAGACACGGAGCAGAGAGUGAGAUCAUGCUGCACACCAGAUGUCCCCCACCAUCAAUCUGAAAAACACUGUGAAGUAGUGAUGUAGUACUUGGCAUUCAAAGAGCAAAGACUCUUCUCCCUAGCCAUUUUGGAGAGACAGCCCUGGUGUUCCCCUCUAAAACCUAAUGCUUGUCCUAGUGAAAAGACAUUGUUUAAGAGCAGACCAACAGCUGGGUUGGGAGUGUGGGGUAUGCUUUAACAUUGCAGAUAUCAUGUCCACAGAGCCUACUAGAGGCAAUUGCCCUGCUCAUUGUCCCCAGGAAAGUAGAAUGUCCUGG